rnacentral:misc_RNA from 1 species
AACUUUUAACAACGGAUCACUCGACAAUGACUCGGCGAGGUUCGCAGGAGCCCCAUGUGGAAUUUUCAAUUCGCCGGCGCGUAUCUGCGUCGCAAGGCCAGUCGCAGAAGAGCCGAUCGAGACGAUGUAGGACACGUUUUCGGACGCGAGCUUGUCGACCUUGGUCACGGUCGUCACUGGAUUAUUCUCGUCGUCUUCGUAAAGCACCUCGACUUGGCGGCCGAUAACUCCGCCCGCCGCGUUGAAUUCCUUGACGAACAGAUCGAUCGCGUCCUUUUGCAGUAACGAGUAAUAGGAUGCUUGCUUGGCCUGAUCGAGGUGAACGCCGAUCAAGAUCGGCUUAUUGGUUUGCGCCUGACUUAAGCAUAUCAAUAAGCGGAGGCU